rnacentral:rRNA from 1 species
UUGGAGGGCAAGUCUGGUGCCAGCAGCCGCGGUAAUUCCAGCUCCAAUAGCGUAUAUUAAAGUUGUCGCAGUUAAAAAGCUCGUAGUUGAAUUUCGGGAUCAAAUUGUCGGUCGUGCCUCGGUACGCACUGGUAUUAUUGGUUCCUACCUUCUGAAGAACCGCGAUGUCAUUAAUUUGGUGUCGUGGGGAAUCAGGACUGUUACUUUGAAAAAAUUAGAGUGUUUAAAGCAGGCUUACGCUUGAAUACAUUAGCAUGGAAUAAUGAAAUAGGACGUUUGAUUCUAUUUUGUUGGUUUCUAGGAUUGACGUAAUGAUUAAUAGGGAUAGUUGGGGGCAUUAGUAUUCAAUUGUCAGAGGUGAAAUUCUUGGAUUUAUUGAAGACUAACUACUGCGAAAGCAUUUGCCAAGGAUGUUUUCAUUAAUCAAGAACGAAAGUUAGGGGAUCGAAGACGAUCAGAUACCGUCGUAGUCUUAACCAUAAACUAUGCCGACUAGGAAUCAGACGAUGUUAAUUCUUUAAUGACUCGUUUGGCACCUUACGGGAAACCAAAGUGUUUGGGUUC